rnacentral:rRNA from 1 species
GACGGAAGGUGCAAGCGUUGCUCGGAAUCAUUGGGCGUAAAGGGUGCGUAGGCGGCUUGGUGGGUCUGGUGUGAAAGCCCCGGGCUUAGCCCGGGAAGGGCGCUAGAAACUGCCGAGCUCGAGUGCCGGAGGGGAGAGUGGAAUUCCUGGUGUAGCGGUGAAAUGCGUAGAUAUUGGGAGGAACACCAGUGGCGAAGGCGGCUCACUGGACCGGUUCUGACGCUGAGGCGCGAAAGCGUGGGGAGCAAACGGG